AGAAGAGUUGAAACAAAAAAUGGCUGAAGCACUAAAAGGGACACUGCCAAUAUCUUCCCCUGUCACCCACUUUUCUGUGAGCUGGUCCCAUCACUAGGGGUGCCUGAGGAAUGGAGGAAAAAGCCAGUGCUCUGGCACAUGGAGUUUGCCAGUUUUGGGACCUGCUGCCUCAGUUUCCUCCUUUGUGCAUAGAAGAUGACAAGCCACAGAAGUUUGACAUCCAGGCCUCAUAGCACCUGAGGAGGAAUAAACUAUGCAAUGGUGCAUGGCACAUGCCACCUCAUUCUGGACUCAUGACCUCAUGCUCACUCAGCUUGGGAAAGAACAAGGCAACCUGGCCACAGGCAGAGAAUGUAGCCGAGCCACAUCGAGGUGCAUUCCCCCAGAGGCCUUGGGGUUUCUCU